rnacentral:rRNA from 1 species
AUACGUAGGGUGCGAGCGUUAAUCGGAAUUACUGGGCGUAAAGCGUGCGCAGGCGGUUUGAUAAGUCAGAUGUGAAAGCCCCGGGCUCAACCUGGGAACUGCGUUUGAAACUAUCAGACUGGAGUAUGGCAGAGGGGGGUAGAAUUCCACGUGUAGCAGUGAAAUGCGUAGAGAUGUGGAGGAAUACCAAUGGCGAAGGCAGCCCCCUGGGUCAAUACUGACGCUCAUGCACGAAAGCGUGGGGAGCAAACAGGAUUAGAUACCCUGGUAGUCCACGCCCUAAACGAUGUCUACUAGUUGUUGGGAGAGUAAAAUCUCUUAGUAACGCAGCUAACGCGUGAAGUAGACCGCCUGGGGAGUACGGUCGCAAGAUUAAA